rnacentral:rRNA from 1 species
UACGAAGGGGGCUAGCGUUGCUCGGAAUCACUGGGCGUAAAGGGCGCGUAGGCGGACUUUUAAGUCAGGGGUGAAAUCCUGAGGCUCAACCUCAGAACUGCCUUUGAUACUGAGGUCUCGAGACCGGUAGAGGUAAGUGGAACUGCGAGUGUAGAGGUGAAAUUCGCAGAUAUCGGGAAGAACACCCGUGGCGAAGGCGGCAACUCUGGGACGGUACUGACGCUGAGACGCGAAAGCGUGGGGAGCGAACGAGG